GACGAACGCUGGCGGCGCGCUUAACACAUGCAAGUCGAGCGAAGCGGCGGACGGGUGAGUAACACGUGAGUAACCUGCCUUAGACCUUGGGAUAGCCUCGGGAAACCGGGAUUAAUACCAAAUGGUCUAAGAUGGACUCGCGUCCCAUUAGCUAGUUGGUGGGUAACGGCCCACCAAGGCGACGAUGGGUAGCCGGCCUGGGAGGGAGAACGGGCACAUUGGAACGGGUAAACGGUCCAAACUCUACGGGAUGCAGCAGUGGGGGAUAGUGCACAAUGGAGGGAACUCUAAUGCAGCGACGCCGGGGGAACGAAGAAGGCUUUCGAGUCGUAAAGUUAUUUUAUAUGGGAAGCGGUACCAUAAGAAAAAGCCCCGGCUAACUACGUGCCAGCAGCCGCGGUAAUAC
rnacentral:rRNA from 1 species